ensembl:lncRNA
UGUGUGUGUGCGUGUUUUUUGAGUACUUAGGUGUGCAGUCAUGCAAGUGUAUAAUUCAUGGACAUGAGCGGUCAAACCCCAGUGGUCCACGGGGAUUUGCAAGGUAUCAUGUUCAGGUUUUGUGAUCCGGUGUAAGAAGCUGACUGACCCACUAAGACAGGAAAAAUCAAAAGCAGCUGGGAGACGUCACUCAUUAUUUACUGAUAUUUAUCUGUGACUCACACUGAUUACAUGAAUCCUAUCAAGGAAUGGUGAUGGGGGAAAGAGUCGGUGAGAGAGAAGUGUCUCUCAGUUAUUUGGUUAGUUUAUUUGGUCAAAUAAACUGUGAGGGGGGGGGGAGAGAAAUAGGGGAAUAUAUAAUGCAGUGUUAUGAAAGAGGACAAUGAUCGUUUUAACUGUCAGUUCAUUCACAUUAAGCACAUAGUCUUUCCUAUAUAGUUUGAUAUUUUUAGAUGUCACUAAAGUUAUUGUCACAACCUCAACACAAUGGGGAAAGAUGGAAUUGUUGUUUGUGGUGCUCAGAGGAUUUAAAACCCAUCCAAUAAAAAUUCUUGACUCUGGGCAGAGUGGACUUUUCAGUUAAAUCAGGAUACUUUUUUUUUUUUUUUUGAGAGAUGCAAAGCUUUAAGAUCCAGGCAUAUUUUCUCUUAUGAAACCCUGCAAACAACAUUCCUUGUCGCCCAAUUUUCUGGUUAUGCAACAAAAAUGACUGAGAGAGAUUUCUGGAAGUCUCUGGCUAAAUGCUCUUUUUGUCUGUGUACAGAAAAAACAUCCUCAGAGGACAGGGAAAUUAACUAACAAUUAGCUUGUAUGAUAGCUUGUAUGAUAGAAACCAUAAAAUGAAUACAAAUCAUAGUCAGAGUAUAAAAGAUGGAUCUAGCCCAUGUGAUGUUAAUAGUAGUUUCUGUACAUCUUCACUAGUAUUGUGACAGCUACUGUUUUGGGUUUUGGGCUGCAAAAGACCAGAAAAUGGACUACUCAAUUAUCAGCUAAUGCUAGCUUGAUUAGCAAACAAGAGCACAAGAACUGUUAAAAGGGCCAGUUCGGUGAUCGAAUUAGCACAGGUAAAGACUACAGGAUAGCUAUUUUCUACAUCUGACCUGUCAAUCAAAGUCAGUUUCUAAAUGCCUGUACAGUUUUUAUGAAGGGGUAUAUUAAUCAUUAGCACCCAAAGUGACUUUUGUUUGUGAUGUAGCACAGUUGGGCGGUGGUUAGCACUAUUGCCUCACAUUUCCUGCAUUUGAAUCCAUUGUGGGGUGUUUUCUGUGGACAUCUUGCAUGUUCUCCCUCGGAA